rnacentral:rRNA from 1 species
GCGGGGGAAGAACUAACAGGGAUUCCCCUAGUAACUGCGAGUGAAGCGGGAAAAGCUCAAAUUUAAAAUCUGGCAGUCUUUGGCUGUCCGAGUUGUAAUCUAGAGAAGUGCUAUCCGUGCUGGACCGUGUAUAAGUCUCCUGGAAUGGAGCGUCACAGAGGGUGAGAAUCCCGUCUUUGACACGGACUCCCAGUACAUUGUGAUGUGCUCUCAAAGAGUCGAGUUGUUUGGGAAUGCAGCUCUAAAUGGGUGGUAAAUUCCAUCUAAAGCUAAAUAUUGGCGAGAGACCGAUAGCGAACAAGUACCGUGAGGGAAAGAUGAAAAGAACUUUGGAAAGAGAGUUAAACAGUACGUGAAAUUGUUGAAAGGGAAACGCUUGAAGUCAGUCACAUUGGCCAGGGAUCAACCCUGCUUUUUUGCUGGGUGUACUUCCUGGUUGAUGGGUCAGCAUCAAUUUUGACCACUGGAAAAAGGCUGAGGGAAUGUGGCAUCUUCGGAUGUGUUAUAGCCCUUGGUUGUAUACAGUGGUUGGGAUUGAGGAACUCAGCACGCCGCAAGGCCGGGUCUUUGACCACGUUCGUGCUUAGGAUGCUGGCAUAAUGGCUUUAAUCGACCCGUCUUGAAACACGGACCAAGGAGUCUAACAUGCCUGCGAGUGUUUGGGUGGAAAACCCGAGCGCGUAAUGAAAGUGAAAGUUGAGAUCCCUGUCGUGGGGAGCAUCGACGCCCGGACCAGAACUUUUGGGACGGAUCUGCGGUAGAGCAUGUAUGUUGGGACCCGAAAGAUGGUGAACUAUGCCUGAAUAGGGCGAAGCCAGAGGAAACUCUGGUGGAGGCUCGUAGCGAUUCUGACGUGCAAAUCGAUCGUCGAAUUUGG